rnacentral:rRNA from 1 species
AGAGACAGCAGUCGCCACGGGAAUACGUAGGGUGCAAGCGUUAAUCGGAAUUACUGGGCGUAAAGCGUGCGCAGGCGGUUAUAUAAGACAGAUGUGAAAUCCCCGGGCUCAACCUGGGAACUGCAUUUGUGACUGUAUAGCUAGAGUACGGCAGAGGGGGAUGGAAUUCCGCGUGUAGCAGUGAAAUGCGUAGAUAUGCGGAGGAACACCGAUGGCGAAGGCAAUCCCCUGGGCCUGUACUGACGCUCAUGCACGAAAGCGUGGGGAGCAAACAGGAUUAGAUACCCCUGUAGUCCCUGUCUCUUAUAC